CUAGUCGAGAGAUCUUGCGCCGAAAAUGUAACGGGGCUAAACUUACCACCGAAGCUACGGGCUUGAACAUAGUUCAAGCGGUAGGAGAGCGUCGUAACCGGGCUGAAGUCGUACCGUAAGGAGCGGUGGACUGGUUACGAGUGAGAAUGUUGGCAUCAGUAGCGAGAUGUGGGUGAGAAUCCCACAGGCCGAAAACCUAAGGUUUCCUCAGGAAGGUUCGUCCGCUGAGGGUUAGUCGGGACCUAAGCCGAGGCCGAAAGGCGUAGGUGAUGGACAACUGGUUGAUAUUCCAGUACCACUACCAUCGUUAUUAUCGAUGGCGUGACGCAGGAGGAUAGUGUGUGCUAGCUAUUGGAUGCUAGUCUAAGCGUUUAGGCAGUGAGAGUAGGCAAAUCCGCUCUCAUAAUGCUGAGGCGUGAUGGGGAAGGUUCCACGGAACCGAAGUACAUGAUUCCACGCUGCCAAGAAAAGCGUCUAGAGAGAGAAGUAGUGCCCGUACCGCAAACCGACACAGGUAGGUGAGGAGAGAAUCCUAAGGCCGGCGGAAGAAUUACAGUUAAGGAACUCGGCAAAUUGACCCCGUAAGUUCGCGAGAAGGGGUGCCUACGAGAGUAGGCCGCAGAGAAUAGGCCCAAGCAACUGUUUAGCAAAAACACAGGUCUCUGCUAAAGCGUAAGCUGAUGUAUAGGGGCUGACGCCUGCCCGGUGCUGGAAGGUUAAGGGGAACACUUAGCGCAAGCGAAGGUGUGAACUUAAGCCCCAGUAAACGGCGGCCGUAACUAUAACGGUCCUAAGGUAGCGAAAUUCCUUGUCAGGUAAGUUCUGACCCGCACGAAUGGCGUAAUGACUUGGGCACUGUCUCAACUGUAAAUCCGGCGAAGUUGUAGUGCGAGUGAAGAUGCUCGCUACCCGCGAUUGGACGGAAAGACCCCGUAGAGCUUUACUGUAGCUUAGCAUUGAGUUUUGGUAUUGUCUGUACAGGAUAGGUGGGAGACUAGGAAACCAGGGCGUCAGCCUUGGUGGAGUCAACCUUGGGAUACCACCCUGACAGUACUGAAAUUCUAACUGGCGGCCAUGAAUCUGGUCACAGGACAUUGUUAGGUGGGCAGUUUGACUGGGGCGGUCGCCUCCUAAAAAGUAACGGAGGCGCCCAAAGGUUCCCUCAGAACGGUCGGAAAUCGUUCGAAGAGUGCAAAGGCAGAAGGGAGCCUGACUGCGACACCCACAAGUGGAGCAGGGACGAAAGUCGGGCUUAGUGAUCCGGUGGUACCUCGUGGGAGGGCCAUCGCUCAACGGAUAAAAGCUACCUCGGGGAUAACAGGCUGAUCUCCCCCAAGAGUCCACAUCGACGGGGAGGUUUGGCACCUCGAUGUCGGCUCGUCGCAUCCUGGGGCUGAAGUAGGUCCCAAGGGUUGGGCUGUUCGCCCAUUAAAGCGGCACGCGAGCUGGGUUCAGAACGUCGUGAGACAGUUCGGUCCCUAUCCGUCGCGGGCGUAGGAAAUUUGAGAGGAGCUGUCCU
rnacentral:rRNA from 1 species